rnacentral:rRNA from 1 species
UACGUAGGGGGCAAGCGUUGUCCGGAUUUACUGGGCGUAAAGCGUGUGUAGGCGGCUACAUAAGUCGGAUGUGAAAGCCCCGGGCUCAACCCGGGAAGUGCACUCGAUACUGCGUAGCUUGAGUCUCGGAGAGGUUGGUGGAAUUCUCGGUGUAGAGGUGAAAUUCGUAGAUAUCGAGAGGAACACCGGUGGCGAAGGCGGCCAACUGGACGAAGACUGACGCUGAGACACGAAAGCGUGGGGAGCAAACAGG